GACGAACGCUGGCGGCGUGCUUAACACAUGCAAGUCGAACGGAAAGGCCCUGCUUUUGUGGGGUGCUCGAGUGGCGAACGGGUGAGUAACACGUGAGUAACCUGCCCUUGACUUUGGGAUAACUUCAGGAAACUGGGGCUAAUACCGGAUAGGAGCUCCUGCUGCAGGGUGGGGGUUGGAAAGUUUCGGCGGUUGGGGAUGGACUCGCGGCUUAUCAGCUUGUUGGUGGGGUAGUGGCUUACCAAGGCUUUGGCGGGUAGCCGGCCUGAGAGGGUGACCGGCCACAGUGGGACUGAGAUUCGGCCCCGACUCCUACGGGAGGCAGCAGUGGGGAAUAUUGCACAAUGGGCGGAAGCCUGAUGCAGCAACGCCGCGUGCGGGAUGACGGCCUUCGGGUUGUAGACCGCUUUCGCCUGUGACGAAGCGUGAGUGACGGUAAUGGGUAAAGAAGCACCGGCUAACUACGUG
rnacentral:rRNA from 1 species